rnacentral:lncRNA from 1 species
UCGUUUAUCCAAGAGAACAUGAGAGCCUUAAGAAUGAUUGGAAACGUUAUUUGGACAGAUUACAUCAUUGGUAUCCAAAAAACCUCAUCCACAUGAUUACAAAGAGCAUAAUCACUACCGAUACAUAUUUGUAGAACGAACAAAAAAACAAAAAACAAAAAACUCAAAAACACUAACUCAAAAGCACGAACUUCCAUUAGUAUGCAACAUGCUGGUAAAUAACUUAGACAUACCGCCUCCGUCGUCACCUCAAAUUCUCUUCUAACUGCAGCCUUAUUCUGCUCUAGAUCCAUUCCUCGUUCGAUUAGAACCACUUUUGAUACCUUCUUGUUAUCUACUACAAAUUUCCCUCUUCUCCUCUGUGCUCGAUUCAAAAUCUCUGUGAAAACAACUCAGAUUUUAGCUCUUUUC